UGUGGGAAAAAGUCAGCAGAAACUAAUGAUAACACAAGUGUGACAAGUACAAAUGAAAAUUCAGAACGAGAGUUUUGGUCUAGCAAAACAGAUUACUUGCUGUCUUUGGUGGGGUAUGCGGUAGGACUUGGAAAUGUCUGGAGAUUUCCAUAUCUAGCAUACAAACAUGGAGGAGGUGCUUUCCUGAUCCCUUAUGUAAUAAUGCUGGCUCUGGCAGGCUUACCUUUAUUAUUUUUAGAGUGCUCCCUAGGCCAGUUUGCCAGCCUCGGUCCCAUUGAAAUAUGGAGAAUUGCCCCUUUAUUCCAAGGUGUUGGAUUCACUAUGGUGAUUAUAUCAACCCUUGUAUCUAUAUACUACAAUGUUAUCAUAGCUUACAGCUUAUUUUAUUUAUUUUCCUCAUUUCGAAGUUAUCUGCCAUGGAGUGAUUGCUAUGAAUGGGCAGAUAGUAACUGUCAAGGCAGCA